UCACCAGUGUUGUGAUACCAGCAGGCGAUGGGGCAUUUUUUUCAGUGCCUUUAUGUUUCACCUAAAAACAUGGUGGCAAGAUGAAGCAAGCUACUUGGAAAAGAGAAUGGAGAGCAUAGAGAGACCAGAGACAAGAAGAAGGAAGCUGGCCAUUGGUCCCAGUGUAAAACAACAAGAAGUACAUCUUCCAGGGGAAGCCACAUUGAACCUUGGCAGGGGAUUCAGUGCUUCUUGGAGAAGAGCAGACACAGAGUCAAGGAUUUUUUAUGGUUAGUUGGGUGAAGAUCCAGGAAUUAUCCAGGCUGCAUAUUCAUGUCUUUGAAGUGUUUGAAGAUUUCCUAUCUAAUUUAAAUAUAUGUUUAUAUACCUGAAAACUUAA